CUACUAAAAAAAAUUGCAAUUGCUUCGCCUUUUUACUUCGGCAACAGUUGCCGUCGCAAUUGAGACCCUAUUGCUACGGAAAAUCUUCCGUCGCGAUUAAACUUUAUCAUUUGCGACGGAAAAUGUUUGCCGUAGUAACUCUGCAAUCAAUUGCGACGAACUUUUCUCGUACCGUCGUAAACUUUUCUCUUACUCUUGGCGCUAACCCAAUUAUUUUCCCCCUGUUUUUACUUUUGGCCAAAGUUCCCACCAACAAUACAGCCCUAAUUCUUUAUCCCUCUUUUUCCCAAACAACACCUCUCUCUCUCCCCCUCCCUCCCCAAGCUUUGUAGCUCCUCGAACUGGAACUUACCGCAGAGAUCGACGAGGUCCGCACCGCAACCUACCGCCAACAGUGACGAGCUCCUCCGUCGACGUUAACGAGGUCUGCGCGCCGGAACAUACCACCGAGACUGACGAGCUCCUCCUUUCCAUCGAAUAGCUCCUCCUUCACCAAAUAAACUGUAACAACAGCUCUCUCACACCCCAGACACAACAAAUCCAGAUCAAUAUCUCUAGGAAUCUAAGGUAAAUCCCUUUGUUCUUUCCAUUUGUCUCUUGUUGAAUAUUAAUAUUUAUAGUCUUAGUUUAGUUUGAGAUUGGGCUCUGUUAAUUCAAUUGGUUGUAUAUGAGAGGUCAAUAUUUAGAUUGUGAGUUCAAUUUUGAUAUGAAACUAAUUGGGCACAAAUUCAAAUUUGAGCACCAGUGGCCAAUCCUCCUGGAUUAUCUUCAUGUUUAGUAAAUAGAUGGGUAUCUUUCUCUUAGACAUCGAUACAUUGACGAGUUUGAGGUUGAGCUUGAUUUGAUGGGGUCAGAACUUGACCUAUACAUUUGGGGUUUCUUCUUGCAUGCAACUUAAAUUAAUGAUGCAUCAGAUCGUAAAUUUAAGUGUUCUUCUGGAUUUUAUAGGGCUACUGUAUACUAAUGGUAUCUAAAUUAACUAAAGGUCAGCAGUAGACUAAAAUAAUAGAGCUCAGAAUAACUAAAUAAACUUCUUUUGCAAGUAUGCGUGCAGAUUGAACGAGGUCUGAUAGAAUAACCUAGUUGCUCAUUGUUAGAUAGAUAUAUGAUUGAAAGUUAAAGUGCCAUUUACAAGUGUUGACUUAAUCUAAAUAAGCAUAUGUAAACUUUGUUGUAUCAGUUUCAAAGUUUGGCAAAGAUAGUUCCUAUUCGUGCCUAAGCUUUAUUAGCAAUAUCUUUACCAUUUUUAGACAAAUUCUCUGAGUAGGGAUGAAGAAUUUCAGAGUUAAACAGGCAUAUAAAAGGUGGAAGUUAGAGCUAAUAAAGUGGAAACAUCCUGAGCAGUUCCUCUCCAUUUUUGUUUUAAUAUUGUUCUUGUGGAAACAUACUUUUGAGUAUUCAUGCCAUAUAGUAGGAACAGCUUUUUUUGCUAGGUUCCGAAAUGUAGUCUUCACCUGAAAAGUUAAUCUAUAGACUUCAUAGUUUAAGCUACAGCUUACAGGAAUUUAAAAUUGUCAGUGAACACAUAAAACUCGGAAAUUCUGGAAAAAGAAUUUUGUUACCUAGCUUGUUAAGGUUGUUUCUCCAGGAGUUUGACAUCAGUCUUUUGUUCAUGGAAUUGCUAUUACAGGUUUUGAUAUGUCAAAAUGAGGCUGAAAAAUGCUUAAUUGAGACAUCUAUUAGUUCCCUUCGUAUAAGCCUCAAGGUGAGUAUCCAUAUUUGAAUGGUUUUUAGUAAUGUAAGUGAGAGUUGGAACUAUGGCUUUCUGAGUUUGAAAUUAUUUAAAUAAAUCACUACUUUUGGUUGGAUUUUUUUAUUUCUUUCGUCUGCUCGUCUGAACAACCUAAAAACAACUGUAUCUUUCCACUCAGUUGUUAUAGACCUUUCUCAAUAAACCUGUUUUAUAGAGGGUUUAUAUUGGGGACAUCUAUAUGUACUUAUGCUUUCUGUGAACCUUAUUGGUGGAUAAUUUCUGAAAUUUCUAUUCACAUUUGAUCCAACUAAUUGGAACAUUACUAUUUUCAGUCUUCAAAAUAAAGUUUAAUAUGUGAAUGAUCGAUGAAGUGGUCAAAAAUAGUAAAGGUUAUAUAGUGAUAUGUAAAGUUCUAGCAAAAUAAUACACAGAACACACUAUUUCCAAUUAUUAAACAAUGUAGUUAAGGGAAGGGGCAGAAAGUGCACUCAAUCUGACAACAAUUCCAUCUUCUCAUUCAUGGAAUCAACAAGUUUUUAGUGUUAGUUUCCUUUAAGUGGAAACUUUGAUUAGAGACUUGGAAUAUCAAUUUUUCUGCAGCCUUAUGUUUACAGUUUAUUCCUCCUUUUAGAGAGGUUCUAUAGUGUAAUAUAGUAUCCUUUGUAUACCAGAACCGUGUGGUAGGUUUCUUGUUUAUGGAGGCAAGGUCCCAACUCUAUUGGAUGUAGAUUAGGUACAUUAGUUUAACGGUUCAUGAUCAUUGAAAACGAUGUCUUUACAUUGCUGUACUUGGAACUUUGCAUUCUUUUAAGUUACUACUUCUAUUUAAUGUAGGCAUAUAACAUUACAUUAUCUUGCAUUAUACAGGAAUAAGUCCUCUGAUGUGCGAACUCUUUCUAAGAGAAAGAUACAUUGAUUUCUAGAUUGAUGUAUUAUAAUCUGCCAUAUGGCUAGUUGGUUCAUGCUUACUCGAUCACAUUAGCAUCUGCCAUAAUGUAUUUUCUUAUAAUUAUAACUCUGUUGAAUUUUUUGUUUGUGCCCCAAUGUGAUUGGUCUUUGAAGUAGAUGUUCUGGGUUUUGAAUUUUCAGACUAGCAGGCCUAAAGAUUGGGAGAAAGUCCCUGAUCCUAAGAAGUAUUUUGUCCAAUUUUUUGGAACAGAAGAGAUCAGAGAACACCAUCCAUUAGUUGAAAAGGCAGCUCAUUAGCAAGUCAGUAGUGAAGAAUCUGGAGUUGAUUUUGGCAAUCCAAAGCCAAGAGCUUGAUAUUAGCAGAUAAUGAGUCUGCCAAAGCAUCAAGACAACAGCUUAAAGAAGCUAGAAAAAAAAAGCUCACGUUUCCUAGGCAUAAGCUAGCAUACAGUUACUUUGGUGCUGCAAUUCUUUAUCUUCCUGAACUAGUACAUAGGUGCCACAAUCUUUGUGAAGAAAUUCUAUUCAAUGUGCCACGAUGGGCUUUAGUUAUUUAUUUCGCUAAUAUGAGGUUGUAAUUGUUGAUUGGUUUAGUUAUAAUGGAUAUUUGUAGUUUAACUUUAGAUGCAUGUAUAAUAGUUUUCAUUUUUGCAUGUUCUUAGAAUGAAAAUAUGGUGCAAUUUUCACCAUAUUUUUUUUUUAAAAAAAAAUUCGUUUUUUGCGACGGCAAGG